AUUUCCUCUAUGUGUUGCCGCUUUUGAUAACCACUCUCUGUUCUAAUUAGCUUACUUGUGUUACGAAUUCUAUUUGUAUUCAAGAUAUUAACCUUAUUUUUACAAAACGGAGCAAAGCUUGAAGCUUUCUUCAACUCCGCCACGGGUUGGCCCGAUAUUGCACGAUCUUCAGGCUCAGCUCACUCGCC